rnacentral:lncRNA from 1 species
GGCAGCAUGGGCAGCAGCUGAACUACCCAGAAUUUAUAUGCUGAUAAUCAUUAUGCAAGCAUUACACAUAAAUCACAAGUUCAAAGGAAGGGUUUAUUACCCUCUAUGGUUGUUGCCGUGUUGGGUACCAGAAGGUAUGGCACAAAGUUGAGACACUGAGUCGAUAAGAAAGAAUAAUGAGUAACCUGACCUUUUUGCAUUGCUUCUUUUCUCAAAGGAAAGUGUUCUCAGAGUUGAGCAACUAAAUAAAAAGAGCCUCAGCCCAGAACACACACAGGUCUUUCUUAACACCCAAAAUAUACCCUUGAGUCUCUUUUUCUGCAGGAAGCGUCAUGUGCUACCUGCAUCAUCUUUAAGCAUUCUCACGUCCUGCAACACGCACUGUGUCUUUUUUAAAAACUGAUGUGCAGUGUUGUGUUAAUGUCUCCUGUACAGCAAAGUGACACAGCGCUGUACGUGAACAUAUUCUUUUACAUUGUGGUUGAUCACAGGGCGUUGUGCAGUAGGACCUUGUUGUUCAUCCAUAUUCUAUACGUAACAGUUUGCACCUGCUAACCCCAAACUCCCAAUCUGUCCCUCCCCGCCUUCCCUCUUCCUUGGCAACCACAAGUCUGUUCUCUAUGUCCGUGAGUCUGUUUCUGCUGUGUGGGUCUGUUCAUCUGUGUUGGAUUUUAGAUCCACCUGUUCAGUGUCAUCGUGUGGUAUUUGCUUUUGCCUUUCUGACUUCACUUAGUAUGAUCAUCUUUAGGUCCAUCCGUGUGGCUGCAGAUGGCAGUAUUUCGUUCUUGUAAUGGUUAAGUAGUUAGUAUCCCAUUGUUUAGAUAUACCACAUCUUCUUAUUUUGAGGGGGGCUGCACCUGCUGAAUGCAGCAGUCUCAGGGCCAGGGGUCAGACUUGCUCCAGAGCAGCAGCCUGAGCCACAGCAGUGACAACACCAGGUUAUUAACUAUCAGGCCACCAGGAAUCUCCUACUACAUCUUCUUUAUCCGUUCAUCUAUUGAUGGACAUUUAGGUUGUUUUCAUGUCUUGGCUGUUGUGAAUAGCACUGCUGUGAACAUAGGGGUAUGCUAUCUUUUCAAAUUAUAGUUUCGUCCAGAUAUAUGCCCAGCAAUAUGGGAUUGCUGGAUCAUAUGGCAACUCUAUUUUUAGUUUUUUGAGGAACCUUCAUACUGUUCUCCAUAGUGGCUGCAUCACCUUACACUACCACCAACAAUGUAGGAAGGUCCCUUUUUUUCCCACACUCUCUCCAAGCGUCUGUUAUUUGUAGACUAUUUUAUGACGGCCUUUCUGACCAGUGUGAAGUGGUACCUCACUGUAGUUUUGGUUUGCAUUUCUCUACUAAUUAGUGACGUUGAGCAUCUUUUCAUAUGCCUAUCAUCCGUCUUUAUGUCUUCUUUGCAGAAAUGUCUGUUUACGUCUUCUGCCCAUUUUUUUGAUUGGGCUGUUUGGUUUUCUGUUAUUGAGUUGUAUGAAUUGUUUGUAAACUUUGGAAUUUAAGCCCUUGUUGGCCACAUCAUUUGCAAAUGUUUUCUCUCAGUCUGUAGUUUGUCUUUUUGUUUUGUUUAUGGUUUUCUUUACUGUACCAAAGCUUCUAAGUUUGAUUAGGUCCUAUUUGUUUAUUUUUGCUUUUAUUUCUGUUGCCUUGGGAGACUGACCAAAGAAAUAGUGGUACAGUUUAUAUCAGAGAAUGUUUUGCUUGUGUUCUCUUCGAGGAGUUUUAUGGUGUCGUAUCUUGUAUUUAAGUCCUUAUAAGCUAUUUUGAGUUUAUUUUUGUGUAUGCUAUGAAGGUGUGUUCUGCCUUCAUUGGUUUACAUGCAGCUGUCUACCUUCCAACACCGCUUGCUGAAGAGACUGCCUUUUUCCCACUGUCUGUUCUUGCUUCCUAUGUCAGAUGAUUGACCGUAGGUGUGUGCGUUUAUUUCUGGACUCUUUAUUCUGUUCCAUUGAUCUAUAUGUCUGUUUCUGUGUCAAUACCAUGCUGUUUUUGAUGACUGUGGCUUUCUAGUAUUGUCUGAAGUUUGGGAGGGUUAUGGCUCCUGUUUUGUUUUUUCCCUCAGGAUUGCUUUGGCAGUUCUGGACAUUUUAUGAUUCCAUAUAAAGUUUAGGAGUAUUUGUUCUAGUUCUGUGAAAAACGUCAUAGGUAAUUUCAUAGGGAUCAUAUUAAGUCUUAGAUUGCUUUGGGCAGUGUGGCCAUUCUAACAAUAUUAGUUAUUCCAAGCUAAGAACAAGGAAUGUUUUUCCAUUUUCUUUACUAAUGGUUUAUAAUUCUGCACAGUUGUUUUUUUGGAGUCUGUUUCUUUAGUUGCCCUCUCUGCCUCUGCACUGGCCUGGGUACACAGGUAUUAAGCUUGGUACAGAUGCUGACUCCUUGUCUACCAUAUGUUGCCAAAAAUGAUUAAACAUGCACUGUGGCCAAAAUUUAAAUUUUAAAAGGAAAAUAUGAAACAAUUCAUUAAGGACUUCCUACUAUUUUAUUAAAAGGUGGCCAAUAGUCCGUAUGUACAAUUUGAGAAGCACCCUAAUGCAAAUGAAUGUUUCCAAAAAGUUGAGGAUAAAUGAAAUUUUCUUAAGUUCAUUCUCAAAUACUUACUGUGUACUUCUCAUUUGAUUAAGUCAGUAGUUAAAAUUUGGGGGAAAAUUUUAAAAACCGUCCUUAUUCAUAAGUUAGUAUGGGAACAGAACGAAAACUCUUAAGCACGAAGUUUGGUAUGUUGUAAGUGACUACUCAGUGUUUAAAGAAGGAAUGAAUGAGCAAGGGAAUGAAUGUAAUAGAGCUGAUAGGUAAAAAAACAAGACAUGAAAGGUCAAAUACCAGGGGACAUGUUUAGAUAAAACCUAAGUGAAGUGAUGGGUAAAUGCUUGUCAUUUGGUGAAAAACAUGUAUACAGUCAAUAUAAUCUCAAAGUAUAAACUUGCAACUAUAAAAUAUUAUGAAAGAAGCUUAAACAUACUAACCUCUGGGUGGAUGUUCUUAUAGGCAAUUUUAAUAUUCUUUAUAUUUUUCUAUGUUUUAUGUAUUUUGAUAAGGAGCACAUAUUACUUUUAAAGAAAAUAGUUGAUUUUUAAAAAGCGAUAUAGAGAAGAAGUGACGUGAAUUCCAAUGAAAGAUAUCACUUUGGACUGGAAUUUUUUGGGAGAGCUUCUUGGGUGACUGAAUUCUGAGCUGGGUUAAUCCAACUUAGAUAGGAAGAAAGGUGAAAUGUGUUUUAGGCAGAUAACCAGCAGGAAUGAGGCCAAAUCAAAGGACAUUUUAAGCACUCUUGUGGAAUAUAUCUAUAUUUUAAUGAACUCUUGUAAAGACAGCCAUUGCCUUCACUGCUCAUGUUUUGCCUGUUUGUAUUUGGUGGCAGCAAAGAUGGCUAUGAAACAGUUUUGCACAACUUUUCUAUCCUAAUACCCCAAUAGUAAAGGAGAAAGAAUACCCCACCCAAGAGCCUUGGAGGCAUAACUUCUGUCUCACUCAUCUUAAAUAUCUUACCUAUUUGCCUUCUGCUCCCUCACAUAUGUUAUUUGUGUUAAUAUAGAAAUAAUACUAUUUUCCAUUUGAACCAUCAGAAUAAUAGAAAAAGCCAUUUUUCUAGGAAGCCUUGCCCUUUUUAAUCUCAUGACUUCUACAUCCUGUUGGUAUACCACCCAGGUAUCCCUGGGGCAUAUGCAAAUGCCCAUCGGAGAAGGUUCAGGGUAGAUGAGCAUCAAAGCUUCAAAAAGUAACAUGUCAAAUCUGAAUUUUUAAAAAGCAACACACAUUUUAUUUGCUUCCAUGAACAGUCAUGAAAAACAAGCUUUUUUUUUUUUUGGUCUAUUAGGGCCACACCCUCAGCAUAUGGAAGUUCCCGGGCUAGGGGUUGAAUCAGAGCUGUAGCUGCUGGCCUACACCACAGCCACAGCAACACCAGAUUCAAGCUGCGUCUGCAACCUACACUGCAGGUCACAGCAAUGCUGGAUCCUUAACCCACUGAGCAAACAUGAGUCCUUAUGGUUCCUAAUUGGGGUUGUCAUCACUGGGCCAUGACAGGAACUCCAAAAAAAAAAAAAAAAAAAAAAACAAGCCCCUUGACAGAAGCAAAAUGAGUAGAGGCCAAAGAAUAAACAUAACAGCUUUGCAAAUUCAUUUCUAUUUAGGAGAAGAUUGAUCUUAUCCUCUAUACUUUUUUGCUUGGAAAAAUUUGAAUUGCAUAUGUAUUCAUUAACUAUAAAAUGCUUCUUCUUCUUCCUUAUCUUUUCUAGUUCUAGUUUAAAAUUUCUGACAUGUAUAUGAAUAUAAAAUACCAGUUUUAGUUUAAUGCACAUUGCUGAGGGAAAAGAAUCAGAAAGGAAAGAAAUAUACUAAAAAAAAAAGUGGUGAUUUUGCUUUGGAUUCUACAAGAAUAGCCUAAUCUCUUUAUAGUGCUUUAGUGGUGUUGUUUUUGAAAAUGCCCUGAGGAUCUUAUGGAUAGGAAAUUUUAGGACUCCUGGCUAUAGCCAGAGUAGCAAGGACCUGGUGAAUUACUGUGUAUGAUAAAGAAAAAUGGAGUUUGGCAUUUACAAGAAAACCUAGAGUUGAAAUGAGGUACCUCAAGACUGCAGUAAAGAUCUGAACAAAAGGAAUGAGUAUCUAAUGUGAGAGAGGCCUGGGAAAAGGGUGGAAAGGCAAGGCUUAAACAGGGACCAGCCUGUGAGAAAAUCUUCACAGUCUGAUAUAGUUCAGGGGUCAGCAAACUUGCCCUCUUAAGGGCCACUAGUAAAUAUUUUGGCUUUGUGUGCCAUGUAUUCUCUGGGUCUCUAUGGUAUGUACUCAGUAUAUACUCAGUUUUGCUUUUGUAAUGUGAAAGAACCGUAGACAUUAGGUAAGAAAUGGUGUGGCUGCAUUCCAGUGUAACUACAAAACGGUUCCUUUUUAGUUCAGUGGUUUCUGCUUUUCGAUCUGUGCGCCACUUUGGAUUGUGGCAUAAUUUCCAUUUACACCCCACACCUUAAGCAAAUAGCUACAUGUUUAUUACACAAUAGCUUAUAGUCAGGCUACUUUGAGUAGGUAGACUAAGGGAUAAGAUAUGGUAUAAUCCCAAGUGGAGGAGGACAGAAAGGAGAAAGCAGUCAUAGGCGGUCAGGAGAGGUAGAGGAUGCAGGGGAAGUCAGAGAGGGGAGGAGGUAAAAACUGUCUCCACAGGGUCCUCAAGAGAUCCUACACAUUUAAGGGAUUUGGAGGACUUGGAGACACACCCAAUUAACAAGUGUUUGGGUUCCAUAAGAGAAGAACUACUUCUCCAGGUUCAUGGCAUAAAUGCACAAAAUUAUAGGAAUGCUUUGACAAAACAGUGCCUGCAUCCGAAUUAUCACCCCAAAUCACCGGAAACAACAAUAAUCCAAAAAACUACAAAAACAAAAAAAACCCAACAACAACAAAGUUGUUUCCAGCUGCUGAAGUACUUUCCACCUUCUUUGGUAUCAGUGAUCCAGCUAAUGCAAUAUCAUAUUCAAAUCCUCUUUCCAUUGUCAACAUUCGAGUUGUUGAAAAAAACUUGUGUUCUGUUUAUAUAUUAGGUACCUGCUAUUUUCUUGAUUUGUUUGCAGAGUUUAAGGAUGAGCACCAUUGCUUUCUUAGGGAUAUAAGUGGAUAAUCACUCUUAGAUUUUUCACCUGUAUUAUUGCUAAUUGACAAUGGAGAAAAAAUAGGAAAACUACCUCAUUAUCUAAGUUUCAGUUUUUGAAAGAAAUUAGUAGCUUUAAUUUUGAGAUUUAGAGAAUAAUUUGCCUCAAGUUUCUGAACUAUUUGCAAGGUAUCUGAUAGGAAGAACAUAACCAAAUGCCAACUUUCAAGGCUUCAGUAAAAACUUUCCCUAGGAAAUAAUAAUAAAACCAUACUAUACAGUGUGUCAAAAGACUCUUAAGUGCCCCCUUAGACAAUUGUCCAUGCCUUAAAAUAGCACAUUUCACUAUCCCCAAAGUAAUUUUCAUUGGUGAAUAUUGUUCACCACAACGUUGUGACAUUAAGGCCUUACACUGUGAGUGACUUUGCAUUUCAGUCUUACACAAGGCUUCCUUCUUCCCUGGUAGUGAAGAAGUAAGUUCUGUUUCCUGUACAAUUAAUAUCCACAGUUAGGAGAGCAGCAGUAGUUGUCAUGAAGCUAUAUGAGAAUUGACAGUAAAUACAAGUGUUUAAUCAUUUCAAAACAAAUGUCGGUAAUAAUCCUGUGUCCAUAACAGUAGUUAACUUUUCUAACAUUCAUCCUAAGUGCGGCACUGUGUUAAGAGAGGUAGAGAAUAUCAUUUCCCCUAUUUUACAGGAAAGGAAAGGAAAGUUUAGGACAAAUUAGGCUCUUGCCGAGGGUCUCACAGCUAGUAAAUGAGUGUGAACACAAGUCUUACUGAUUACAAAGCCCAGGGUCUUACCUGGUAUGUUUCUCUGCCUCUUUCUGGGUCAUUUAAUAAGCACUUCAUUUUACAUAAUGAAAUGAUGACUCAAACAAGACCAGUGCCUUUAUAUUUCAAGUCUGGGUUGGCAUUAGGGAUUUAAGGACGGAAGCACAGAGAAUUCACUCACUCUACCCCUUCCUGGAACUCCCUAGUACCCAGUUACUCUUCAUCCUCUCAAGGAAGUUUGAUAAGGGCAACGCUUGAGACAAAGAGGAGAUUGUGAGUCAGAAGCAAGAUUUUCACCAGAUGAGGAAGGACAACUUGAGAUUCAUGCAUGACGAAGUGUGGAGGGCUGGGCAGCCAUGUGGUGUGAGUUCCAGGGAGCAGUGACCAGGUGGCUGGGUGAGUAAUGGCCUGAAAGGAUCUUGGAUGAUGAGUGGUACAUGGGCUGUGAGAGGACACAAGCUUAGUGAGUGUAUGUUCAAAGAAUGGCAGUGCAGGUGGUU